rnacentral:rRNA from 1 species
GACGAACGCUGGCGGCGUGCUUAACACAUGCAAGUCGAACGAUGACGCCCGAGCUUGCUCGGUCUGAUUAUUGGCGAACGGGUGAGUAACACGUGAGCAACCUGCCCUUCACUCUGGGAUAACCUCGGGAAAUCGGGGCUAAUACCGGAUAUGAGCUCCUGUCGCAUGGCGGGUGUUGGAAAGUUUUUCGGUGAAGGAUGGGCUCGCGGCCUAUCAGUUUGUUGGUGAGGUAGUGGCUCACCAAGGCGAUGACGGGUAGCCGGCCUGAGAGGGCGACCGGCCACACUGGGACUGAGACACGGCCCAGACUCCUACGGGAGGCAGCAGUGGGGAAUAUUGCACAAUGGGCGAAAGCCUGAUGCAGCGACGCCGCGUGAGGGAUGACGGCCUUCGGGUUGUAAACCUCUUUCAGCAGGGAAGAAGCGAAAGUGACGGUACCUGCAGAAGAAGCGCCGGCUAACUACGUG